rnacentral:rRNA from 1 species
GUAGGUGGCAAGCGUUGUCCGGAAUUAUUGGGCGUAAAGCGCGCGCAGGCGGUCCUUUAAGUCUGAUGUGAAAGCCCACGGCUCAACCGUGGAGGGUCAUUGGAAACUGGGGGACUUGAGUACAGAAGAGGAAAGCGGAAUUCCAAGUGUAGCGGUGAAAUGCGUAGAGAUUUGGAGGAACACCAGUGGCGAAGGCGGCUUUCUGGUCUGUAACUGACGCUGAGGCGCGAAAGCGUGGGGAGCAAACAGGAUUAGAUACCCUGGUAGUCCACGCCGUAAACGAUGAGUGCUAAGUGUUAGGGGGUUUCCCGCCCCCUUAGUGCUGCAGCUAACGCACUAAGCACUCCGCCUGGGGAGUACGGCCGCAAGGCUG